rnacentral:rRNA from 1 species
UACGAAGGGGGCUAGCGUUGUUCGGAAUUACUGGGCGUAAAGCGCACGUAGGCGGAUAUUUAAGUCAGGGGUGAAAUCCCAGAGCUCAACUCUGGAACUGCCUUUGAUACUGGGUAUCUGGAGUAUGGAAGAGGUGAGUGGAAUUCCGAGUGUAGAGGUGAAAUUCGUAGAUAUUCGGAGGAACACCAGUGGCGAAGGCGGCUCACUGGUCCAUUACUGACGCUGAGGUGCGAAAGCGUGGGGAGCGAACAGG